rnacentral:misc_RNA from 1 species
UUUUUUCUCAGCAACGAUUUUUCUACUAUUUAAAAAUUAAAAGGCAUAUUGGUCUUGCGAGGCAUGCGCUAGUAGUAGUAUGGGCGUGAGCGAUGGGGGGGAAGUGGUGGUGCAUGCGUGGGGUUGCAUGUGUGGGGCUUGUCGGUGGCAGCCCCAGCGUGCCAGCCCCAGCCCCAUGACCAGCCCCAUAGUCGUCGAUCACGACGAGGCGCGAGAAUUAUGAUGAGACUUGAUCGGGGCUGCUUUUUUUUUUGCAGGACGUUCGCAGCUCGAGGGAAUUCCGUGUUGUGUAGCGGUCUGUGUGCCGCUGUGCGAUCGGUCUCUCUCUCCGCGUGCUC